rnacentral:rRNA from 1 species
CCCUUAGAUGUUCGGGGUCGCACGCGCGCUACACUGAAUGAAUCAGCGAGUGUAUGUCCUAGGCCGAAAGGUCCGGGUAACCCGUUGAACCUCAUUCGUGAUUGGGAUAGGGACUUGCAAUUGUUUCCCUUGAACGAGGAAUUCCCAGUAAGCGCAAGUCAUCAGCUUGCGUUGAUUACGUCCCUGCCCUUUGUACACACCGCCCGUCGCUACUACCGAUUGAACGGUUUAGUGAGGGCCUCGGAUUGGUCUCGGCCCGCUCUUUACCGGGCGGCGCCGUUGGUCGAGAAGACGCUCGAACUUGAUCGUUUAGAGGAAGUAAAAGUCGUAACA